ACUAAUUAUAACAACCAGGGCGGGACUACCUGCCCUCUCGAUUGUUGAAUAGCACGGACAGACUACAGGUCUGGCGGUCGUUCCCCGCCGGGCCCGAAUAUCGCAGUACGCCGUUCACCAAUCUUCGAGGGUAGCACUGCUACCCUUUUUUUUCUGGA
rnacentral:sRNA from 1 species